rnacentral:tRNA from 3 species
GCGCACGUAGCUCAGUUGGUAGAGCGCCGAGCUUAUACCUCGGUGGUCCCAGGUUCGAGUCCUGGCGUGCGCACAA